GACGAACGCUGGCGGCGUGCUUAACACAUGCAAGUCGAACGGUGAAGCGAGUGCUUGCACUCGGGGAUCAGUGGCGAACGGGUGGGUAACACGUGAGUAACCUGCCCAUCACUCUGGGAUAAGCACUGGAAACGGUGUCUAAUACUGGGUACGUCCAACCCUUGCAUGGGGUGUUGGUGGAAAGAUUUAUCGGUGAUGGAUGGACUCGCGGCCUAUCAGCUUGUUGGCGGGGUAAUGGCCCACCAAGGCGACGACGGGUAGCCGGCCUGAGAGGGUGACCGGACACACUGGGACUGAGACACGGCCCAGACUCCUACGGGAGGCAGCAGUGGGGAAUAUUGCACAAUGGGCGAAAGCCUGAUGAAGCGACGCCGCGUGAGGGAUGACGGCCUUCGGGUUGUCAACCUCUUUCAGCAGGGAAGAAGCGAAAGUGACGGUACCUGCAGAAGAAGCACCGGCUAACUAGGUG
rnacentral:rRNA from 1 species